ACCAUGUGUAUGAGUUACAGUAGUCUGGUUAGUGAAACGUAUAAAUUCAAAAUGAUUUCAGUUUUGUUAUUUUAUGUACAUUGACAUAUUUCCUAGAAUUUCUUUCGCCGCACAUGCGUAGUGACAUCUGUGAAGGGCUUAUAUAAGAUAGUUUGUUGAAUGCCCAACUUGAGUAUCGCACGUGUGCUCACGAAGAUGAAGUCGAAGAUAUUUGUUACUUACCUUUGAAUUAAACGCCAAGGGGUAUCUUUAGCCAAAAUAUGAGAAGAAGCUAUGAUGUUUCAAAUGAAAAGUUUGAAAGAAAAUCCCUUCGGAAGGUACGUAUCCUCAGUACACAAUUGUUUCUUUUGCAACUGCAUGGGGCUGACCAGUACCCGUGAUAUUUUUCAUAAAGAAGAAAGAGAGAGAUCCGUCAAUGACUCAUCGUGAUUUAUGAAGAAUGUAACAUCAUUCUGUCCAGAGCAGUACAGCCCUAUAACAAAACAGAAACAUGGUGUGCUGGGUGAUAUAGUUUUUACUGGAUAUAUCACUACAUGCAAUAUCAAUCCGAAACAUCUUCUUACAACUAAUGGUUUCAAAUGUAUGCAAUUACUGUAAAGCCAAAGUUGGGAGUAAUUCCACAUUUUUCUUUUUUUUCUCUCACAAGGAAUUACAACAUAUGAAGGAUGGGAAGAUGACCCCACCAGACCCCACAGCUUGUCAUGAGAACAAGUUACACAGACGGAUGCUGUUCAAACAAUUUUCCUGAACAGCGAGCUCUACAAGGCGACAACGACAACAGUCACAAGAAAUUAAUAGUUGAACUUGGACGGCAAUCAGAUUGAUAGUAACCGUAGCUUUACAAUGCAUCACAAUCUAUCACCUCAACGAAACGGAAGUCAAUGCACAUGUAGUCAGGCUUGACUCUAUAGUUCCAGGAAUUUUGUCAGCAUGCAAACAAUUUAUUAUACGGUCAACAGAAUUACAAAAGAAAUGUUUUGCUUGAAUGUAUUACCAAGUGUCAUUGUUAUAGAAGUAAAUCCAAAGUUAUAAGAAUGACGCAUCUUUGCCAUGUUCUGCCAGGUUUUUACAUUCUCUGUGUUUGUGUCUUGAGAUAUGGUAAAAGUAUAUAUGAUGUGUAUGUUGAUGAAAUAAAAGGUAUAGGCAAUUG